UAUAGCCUACAAAUUCAGAACGGAAACGUAACAACCAUUAUUCUAGCCCUAUUAGAAUUCUUCAUUCGGAAAAUAAUGUGAAUUUACAUAUUUUCAUUCUGUUCCACCAGAAGCGUGUUCAUAAGGUCUCCUACCCUCCCCCAAACAGCCUACCUUUGAAGGGAUGGAUGCUGAUGAUCUUCAGCGCACGCCUCCUCCAGCUCUUCAAUCACUUACGUCACGUGGUGCGUCCCGGGUGGUGGGUGUGGCUUCAGCCAUAGGGUUUCAUUCAUAAAUAGUUUUUGCUUUUAAAUCAGACUUUAAGUGUUCGGCGAAGGUUUUGGCGCUAUUGGCUUCUGCCUAAGUUCCCUCACAUGGACCACCUCAAUUUUAAUUAGCUGAGCUUCUGGUCAGAGUCUAGGCAAGCCUAUGUUGAGAGGACAAAAUAGCCCUGAGGAGGCUGGCCAGCCAGGUGGGUGGGCAGAGGCAGGCUGAGAAUGCAGCAAGGGAGCUGAGGAAGAUCUGAGCAGGGAGACAUCAACAUCCAGAGCUGCUGCACACAGCCCUCCAUCAGGGGGGACGCUCACGCUCGCCUGGACCAUGAGCAAUGAGUCUACCGUCUGGAUCAACCUCACCGAGAACUCCACCGGGGUCCCAUUUGAGCCUGGUAAACAACAGGAUGGUUACAUCCUACUGCUGGUGCUCCUGUCCAUCUUCCUGGGGGGAACACUGGUCCUGCUGUCUGUCCUGCUGAUCAUCUGCAGACGUUGCUGUGAUGGAGACUGCCGCCAUGCCAGGUCAGACCACUAGUCCAGUGGUUCCCAACCAGGGGUACUUGGCCUAUCCACACGGGGUACUUGAGAAGACUCAUGAGACCAUAGGCUUAGUGGUAAAAUGCACAUGAGAGGGUACUCCGGGCAGAGUAAAAUUCCGUUGGUGGUACAGUAACCACGGCACUAGUAUGCAUGGUUUAGUGACUAUGCAUGUCUAUGAGUGAGAUGGAGACCAUUCAAAUCCUGUAUGCACACGUGUCCAUCCCUCUGACAUAAAGAGUGCAUGCAGAGAUGUAACAAUGCAUGUUGUAAGUAUGGUAAAAAGACUACAGUGCAUUCCUUUAUUAUUGAGUUCUAUUGUCUGUCUACAGACCAUUGUUGAUCUAACAUGGAAACAUCGUUAUAUUCAUUUGUAAGUUAUUUUUAAUCGUCUUCAUUUAGAAAUAGCACCUUUGUUGUUAUGUCUGAGAGAUACAGACUUCUAUUUGUAUAUGAUAUGUUUACUCCAUUUCCAUGCGCCCCUCUUUUCAGUACCCAGCAACAGAGUCAGGCAGUGGCAGGCUGCAGGCUGGCCGGGGUAGAGUAGUGCAGACUGGUACAAAUGAUGAGUGUAAUGAGAUUUCAUAGCAGCCAUCAACGCUGAUUCAUUUUGCGUCUCACACUGUCAUAAGCUCUAGCUGCAGCACACACACACACACACACACACACACACACACACACACACACACACACACACACACACACACACACACACACACACACACACACACACACACACACACACACACACACACACACACAGACACAGACAGAGAGAGAGGAAAUGAAAGCACAGCGCCGGGCAGCCAGAGAAAUCCCUCAAGUCAUUCUCACACAGAUAUUAUGAACUGGGUGGUUUGAGCCCUGAAUGCUGAUUGUAUAUCAGAUCUUAAACCACAGGUAUGACAAAACAUGUAUUUGUACUACUCUAAUUACGUUGGUAACCAGUUUAUAAUAGCAAUAAGUCAUCUGUGUUGCGUCGUACCUAAGAACAGCCCUUAGCCGUAGUAUAUUGGCCAUAUACCACACGCCCUCGUGCCUUUUUACUGAAAUAUCAAAUCAAAUUUGAUUUGUCACAUACACAUGGUUAGCAGAUGUUAAUGUGAGUGUAAUGAAAUGCUUGUGCUUCUAGUUCCGACCAUGCAGUAAUAUCUAACAAGUAAUCUAACCUAACAAUUUCACUACCUCACUACACACAAGUGUAAAAGAAUGAAUAAGAAUAUGUACAUAAAAAUAUAUGAAUGAGCGUUGGCCGAACGGCACAGGCAAGAUGCAGUAGAUGCUAUAAAGUACAGUAUAUACAUAUGGGAUGAGUAAUGUAGGGUAUGUAAACAUUAUAUAAAGUGGCAUUGUUUAAAGUGGCUAGUGAUACAUUUAUUACAUAAAUGUUUUAAUUAUUAAAGUGGCUAGAGAUGAGUCAGUAUG
ensembl:lncRNA